rnacentral:rRNA from 1 species
UACGGAGGGUGCAAGCGUUAAUCGGAAUUACUGGGCGUAAAGAGUACGUAGGUGGUUUGUUAAGUCAGAUGUGAAAGCCCCGGGCUCAACCUGGGAACUGCAUUUGAUACUGGCAGACUAGAGUAUGGUAGAGGGGGGUAGAAUUUCUAGUGUAGCGGUGAAAUGCGUAGAUAUUAGAAGGAAUACCAGUGGCGAAGGCGGCCCCCUGGACCAAUACUGACACUGAGGUACGAAAGCGUGGGUAGCGAACAGG